rnacentral:rRNA from 1 species
AGUGAGGAAUAUUGGUCAAUGGGCGGAAGCCUGAACCAGCCAUCCCGCGUGAAGGAAGAAGGCCUUAUGGGUUGUAAACUUCUUUUCUGUUUGAAGAAUAAGCUUGUCGAGACAAGUGAUGUCGGUAGGACAGGAAUAAGCAUCGGCUAACUCCGUGCCAGCAGUCGCGGUAAUACGGAGGAUGCAAGCGUUAUCCGGAUUUAUUGGGUUUAAAGGGUGCGCAGGUGGUUUAAUAAGUCAGUGGUGAAAGUCUGCCGCUUAACGGUAGGAUUGCCAUUGAUACUGUUGGACUUGAAUAUGGAUGAGGUAGGCGGAAUGUGUAGUGUAGCGGUGAAAUGCUUAGAUAUUACACAGAACACCGAUUGCGAAGGCAGCUUACUAAUCCAUGAUUGACGCUGAGGCACGAAAGCGUGGGGAUCAAACAGGAUUAGAUACCCUGGUAGUCCACGCUGUAAACGAUGAUCACUCGCUGUUUGCGAUAUACAGUAAGUGGCUAAGCGAAAGCGUUAAGUGAUCCACCUGGGGAGUACGAUCGCAAGGUUGAAACUCAAAGGAAUUGACGGGGGCCCGCACAAGCGGAGGAACAUGUGGUUUAAUUCGAUGAUACGCGAGGAACCUUACCUGGGCUUAAAUGGGGAGUGACAGCUGCUGAAAGGUGGUUUUCUUCGGACACUCUUCAAGGUGCUGCAUGGUUGUCGUCAGCUCGUGCCGUGAGGUGUCGGGUUAAGUCCCAUAACGAGCGCAACCCUUACUGUUAGUUGCCAGCGGGUAAAGCCGGGGACUCUAGCGGGACUGCCACCGUAAGGUGAGAGGAAGGUGGGGAUGACGUCAAAUCAGCACGGCCCUUAUGUCCAGGGCUACACACGUGUUACAAUGGCCGGUACAAAGGGCAGCUACACUGCGAAGUGAUGCUAAUCUCGAAAGCCGGUCCCAGUUCGGAUCGAAGUCUGCAACCCGACUUCGUGAAGUUGGAUUCGCUAGUAAUCGCGCAUCAGCCAUGGCGCGGUGAAUACGUUCCCGGGCCUUGUACACACCGCCCGUCAAGCCAUGGGAGCCGGGGGUACCUGAAGUCUGCAACCGCAAGGAGCGGCCUAGGGUAAAACUGGUGACUGGGGCU